rnacentral:rRNA from 1 species
AUACGGAGGAUCCGAGCGUUAUCCGGAUUUAUUGGGUUUAAAGGGAGCGUAGGCGGACGCUUAAGUCAGUUGUGAAAGUUUGCGGCUCAACCGUAAAAUUGCAGUUGAUACUGGGUGUCUUGAGUACAGUAGAGGCAGGGGGAAGUCGUGGUGUAGCGGGGAAAUGCUUAGAUAUCACGAAGAACUCCGAUUGCGAAGGCAGCCUGCUGGACUGUAACUGACGCUGAUGCUCGAAAGUGUGGGUAUCAAACAGGAUUAGAUACCCUGGUAGUCCACACAGUAAACGAUGAAUACUCGCUGUUUGCGAUAUACAGUAAGCGGCCAAGCGAAAGCGUUAAGUAUUCCACCUGGGGAGUACGCCGGCAACGGUGAAACUUAAAGGAAUUGACGGGG